UAUUUUUUAGUUGUUGAUGUACCAAUACCUUUCUGUUAUUUUUAUUUAUCUUUACACAGUGCUGAGGAUCAGACUCAGUGCCUCACACGUGCCAGGCCAAGUGCUGAGCCAUAAACCCGGCCUCUCAAAAUAAAUUUUUUUUUUAACAUUUAAAUUUUUUUUUUUAGGUGUAGAUGGACACAACACAAUGCCUUUAUUUGUAUGUGGUGCUGAGGAUCAAACCUGGGUCUUGCCCGUGCUAGGGAUUGAACCCGGGGAUUCUCUGCCACUGAACCACAUCCUCAGUUCUUUUUAGUUUGAUACAGAGUCUCCUAAGGCUAGCCUCUGUUGAGAGCCAUCCAUGGGCUAUGUGUGGACUACAUUGGCAUCUCAACCUAGUGAAUAUAAACAGCUGGUGUUUGGGAACUUCUCUUGGCAAUCCCACAGGGUGAGAUCACCAAAUACAUGUGAAUUUCUAUUCCGUUCUGCCUGGUUCCACACAGCACUGGAGAUGGGGUGAUAACCUAUCUGCUAUAACCAUCCAGGCACACAGCCUUCAGAGAUGGGUGUGAUCUGCCAAGAUGCCAAUCUACCUGCUGACUGCAAGAUACCAUGAAGCAAGACUCCACCCUUACAACCUUAUCUCUGCCUUUGAUGUAUCUCCUUAAAUAAACCAUUUUCUAAUUGUCCAA